UACGUAGGGGGCUAGCGUUGUCCGGAUUUAUUGGGCGUAAAGAGCGUGUAGGCGGCCAGGUAGGUCUGGUGUGAAAACUCGAGGCUUAACCUCGAGAUGUCAUCGGAAACCAUCUGGCUAGAGUCCGGAAGAGGAGAGCGGAAUUCCUGGUGUAGCGGUGAAAUGCGCAGAUAUCAGGAGGAACACCGGUGGCGAAGGCGGGUCUCUGGGCCGAUACUGACGCUGAGGAGCGAAAGCGUGGGGAGCGAACAGG
rnacentral:rRNA from 1 species